UGAAGGCCUCUACAGGUGUAACAUCAGCGGUCAUGGAGAGUCUCCAUCCAGCAGGAUCUCUGUCUCAGCACAACCUUCAACCUUAGCUCCGCCCACUUCUUCACCUCCUGCCUCAGCCUCCCUCCAGGUCAGACUGGUCUGCCACCUAGUGGUCUUCUGUCCGUACUUCAUCUCCUCCCUCCUCAUGGUGUCUUUGUAUCGACACAGAGCCAAAGCAGGAAGCGACCUGCCCGUUUUCAUGGUGAUGGCUCCACCCAUCCACAGUGAUCAGGGAUUGGACAAUGAUUAUGAUGAUGUCACCACUGAGCAUUUAUUUUGAACUGAGCAGAUUAUAUCAUCACUGUUUUUUUGUUGUUGUUUUUUUUGUUUUGUUU